UCCAGGAAAAGCCUCUAAGCAUCAGGUAACAUCAAAUCGUACCCCAAACCGACACAGGUGGUCAGGUAGAGAAUACCAAGGCGCUUGAGAGAACUCGGGUGAAGGAACUAGGCAAAAUGGUGCCGUAACUUCGGGAGAAGGCACGCUGGUGUGUAGGUGAAGCCCCUGCGGGUGGAGCUGAGACCAGUCGAAGAUACCAGCUGGCUGCAACUGUUUAUUAAAAACACAGCACUGUGCAAACACGAAAGUGGACGUAUACGGUGUGACGCCUGCCCGGUGCCGGAAGGUUAAUUGAUGGGGUUAUCCGUAAGGAGAAGCUCUUGAUCGAAGCCCC
rnacentral:rRNA from 1 species